UAACGUUGUCAUAAUGCGAAUAUAUUAUUGUAUAAAUAAUGGAAGCUUUUACACCGGGACGACGGGACGCGGCGACGGAGAAAUGAGCCGCCGUCGCCGUAUUUUCCGCGCUCGUGCCGAGAGCAUUAUCUCUCGCACGCACACACUCGGUGUAAAGUACUGCCGCCACGGUUAAGUACGCAUUCUCGAGCACGCGGUGUACGCCGCGGAGACGGCGGGAGAAAAUACGGGAGACUUGUCACCCUCCGGCCUCGCGGGCCGUGCGCGGCAGCCGCCGUCGAACGGAUGACGAUUUCCGACGGUGUGCCUACGUAGCACGUAUAUAGUCGAUUGCGGGGGAACGAACAGG